AACGAACGCUGGCGGCAUGCCUAACACAUGCAAGUCGAACGAAGCCUUCGGGCUUAGUGGCGCACGGGUGCGUAACGCGUGGGAAUCUGCCCUUGGGUUCGGAAUAACAGUUAGAAAUGACUGCUAAUACCGGAUGAUGUCUUCGGACCAAAGAUUUAUCGCCCAAGGAUGAGCCCGCGUAGGAUUAGGUAGUUGGUGGGGUAAUGGCCCACCAAGCCGACGAUCCUUAGCUGGUCUGAGAGGAUGAUCGGCCACACUGGGACUGAGACACGGCCCAGACUCCUACGGGAGGCAGCAGUGGGGAAUAUUGGACAAAGGGCGAAAGCCUGAUCCAGCAAUGCCGCGUGAGUGAUGAAGGCCUUAGGGUUGUAAGGCUCUUUUACCAGGGAUGAUAAUGACAGUACCUGGAGAAUAAGCUCCGGCUAACUCCGUGCCAGCCGCCGCCGUAA
rnacentral:rRNA from 1 species